GGCAUGUGGCUCAAGUAGUAGCGCGCUCGCCUGGCAUGCGUGCGGCCUGGGUUCUAUCCUCAGCACCA
rnacentral:tRNA from 1 species